rnacentral:sRNA from 1 species
GCACUGGCAAAAUCCAGUGCCGAGUUUCGCAGCUCGAAAAUACUCAAGGCGCAUAGACGCCAGCUUCCUGCUGGUUUUUU